GACGAACGCUGGCGGCGUGCCUAACGCACGCAAGUCGAACGGAGUUGUUCCUUCGGGGACAACUUAGUGGCGAACGGGUGAGUAACGCGUGAGAAACCUGCCUUUCAGUGGGGGACAGCAGUUGGAAACGACUGCUAAUACCGCAUAACGUAUUUUGAGGGCAUCCUCGAAAUACCAAAGCUUUAUGUGCUGAAAGAUGGUCUCGCGUCUGAUUAGCUAGUUGGCGGGGUAACGGCCCACCAAGGCGACGAUCAGUAGCCGGUCUGAGAGGAUGAACGGCCACAUUGGGACUGAGAUACGGCCCAGACUCCUACGGGAGGCAGCAGUGGGGAAUAUUGGGCAAUGGGGGAAACCCUGACCCAGCAACGCCGCGUGAAGGAAGAAGGCCUUCGGGUUGUAAACUUCUUUUAGCAGGGACGAAGAACGUGACGGUACCUGCAGAAAAAGCGACGGCUAACUACGUGCCAGCAGCCGCCGUAACAC
rnacentral:rRNA from 1 species